UGCAGAAUGACUCUCGGCAACGGAUAUCUAGGCUCUUGCAUCGAUGAAGAACGUAGCGAAAUGCGAUACUUGGUGUGAAUUGCAGAAUCCCGUGAACCAUCGAGUCUUUGAACGCAAGUUGCGCCCGAAGCCAUUAGGUUGAGGGCACGUCUGCCUGGGUGUCACA
rnacentral:rRNA from 2 species